rnacentral:rRNA from 1 species
GAUUAACGCUGGCGGCGUGCCUAACACAUGCAAGUCGAGCGGCAGCGAGUUUUACACUGAAUUCUGGAAGCUUCUGGUUGAAAGAGAAGAUUUAUUCAAGAGUUUUGUGUAAAAUGUCAGCGAGCGGCGGACGGCUGAGUAACGCGUGGGAACGUACCCCAAAGUGAGGGAUGACGCAUCGAAAGGUGUGCUAAUACCGCAUAUGGUCUUCGGAUUAAAGCCUUCGGGCGCUUUGGGAACGGCCUGCGUAAGAUUAGAUAGUUGGUGGGGUAAUGGCCUACCAAGCCAACGAUCUUUAACUGGUUUGAGAGGAUGAUCAGUCAGACUGGAACUGAGACACGGUCCAGACUCCUACGGGAGGCAGCAGUGAGGAAUCUUCCACAAUGGGCGAAAGCCUGAUGGAGCAACGCCGCGUGCAGGAUGAAGGCCUUCGGGUUGUAAACUGCUUUUAUAAGUGAGGAAUAUGACAGUAACUUAUGAAUAAGGAUCGGCUAACUACGUGCCAGCAGCCGCGGUCAUACGUAGGAUCCGAGCGUUAUCCGGAGUGACUGGGCGUAAAGAGUUGCGUAGGUGGUUUAAUAAGCGAAUAGUGAAAUCUGGUGGCUCAACCAUUCAGACUAUUAUUCGAACUGUUAAACUCGAGAGCAGAAGAGGUAGCUGGAAUUUCUAGUGUAGGAGUGAAAUCCGUAGAUAUUAGAAGGAACACCGAUGGCGUAGGCAGGCUACUGGGCUGUUUCUGACACUGAGGCACGAAAGCGUGGGGAGCGAACCGGGUUAGAUACCCGGGUAGUCCACGCCGUAAACGAUGGAUACUAGCUGUUUGGGGUAUCGACCCCCUGAGUAGCGAAGCUAACGCGUUAAGUAUCCCGCCUGUGGAGUACGAUCGCAAGAUUAAAACAUAAAGGAAUUGACGGGGACCCGCACAAGCGGUGGAUCAUGUUCUUUAAUUCGAUGAUAACCGAUAAACCUUACCAGGUCUUGACAUCCUUGGAAUCUUUCAGAAAUGAGAGAGUGCUUUUUAAGAGCCAAGUGACAGGUGAUGCAUGGCCGUCGUCAGCUCGUGUCGUGAGAUGUUUGGUUAAGUCCAUCAACGAGCGCAACCCUUGUCAGUAGUUGUAUUUUUCUACUGAGACUGCCCCGGCAACGGGGAGGAAGGAGGGGAUGACGUCAGGUCGGUAUUUCCCUUACGUCCUGGGCUAGAAACGUGAUACAAUGGCUAGUACAAUGCGCAGCGAAGCCGCGAGGUGAAGCAAAUCGCAUCAAAGCUAGUCCCAGUUCGGAUUGUAGGCUGAAACUCGCCUGCAUGAAGUCGGAAUCGCUAGUAAUCGCAGAUCAGCAUGCUGCGGUGAAUACGUUCCCGGGUCU